UACGAAGGGGGCUAGCGUUGUUCGGAAUUACUGGGCGUAACGGGCACGCAGGUGGUUUUAUAAGUCAGGGGUGAAAUCCCGGGGCUCAACCUCGGAAUUGCCUUUGAUACUGUCUAUCUAGAGUACGGGAGAGGAAAGUGGAAUUCCUAGUGUAGAGGUGAAAUUCGUAGAUAUUAGGAAGAACACCAGUGGCGAAGGCGACUCUCUGGCCCGGUACUGACGCUGAUGCGCGAAAGCGUGGGGAGCAAACAGG
rnacentral:rRNA from 1 species